rnacentral:rRNA from 1 species
CCUACGGGAGGCAGCAGUGGGGAAUUUUCCGCAAUGGGCGAAAGCCUGACGGAGCAACGCCGCGUGAGGGAUGAAGGCCUCUGGGCUGUAAACCUCUUUUAUCAAGGAAGAAGAUCUGACGGUACUUGAUGAAUAAGCCACGGCUAAUUCCGUGCCAGCAGCCGCGGUAAUACGGGAGUGGCAAGCGUUAUCCGGAAUUAUUGGGCGUAAAGCGUCCGCAGGCGGUCUUGUAAGUCUGUCGUUAAAGCGUGGAGCUCAACUCCAUUUCGGCGGUGGAAACUACAAGACUAGAGUGUGGUAGGGGCAGAGGGAAUUCCCGGUGUAGCGGUGAAAUGCGUAGAUAUCGGGAAGAACACCAGUGGCGAAGGCGCUCUGCUGGGCCAUAACUGACGCUCAUGGGCGAAAGCUAGGGGAGCGAAAGGGAUUAGAUACCCCUGUAGUCCUAGCCGUAAACGAUGAACACUAGGUGUCGGGGGAAUCGACCCCCUCGGUGUCGUAGCUAACGCGUUAAGUGUUCCGCCUGGGAGUACGCACGCAAGUGUGAACUUAAGGAAUUGACGGCUGNGAGNGCGACGCGACGACGAGGAGAG